CCGUUGACACCGUCUUGAUGGUUUUAUUUACAACGAAUGUUCUUAUUUUCAUUCACUCAUAAGAAAGCUUGCUGUGCGUCAUUAUUCAGGAUCCCAGAAAGGGACCUUUUUCUUGGGUUUCCUUCACAAUGCCACAUGACGCGACAUAGGAAACCAUUGCUCACUGGAGCAGAUAUGCCCAGGAACCACCAGACACCUCUUCUGUAGAGAAAGCUUUCAGCAAAGGUCAGGCCAGAGAGAACUUAGGACAAUAAACUGCGUGUCUGGUUUUGGGUUUUGAAGCCUGUGGGAAGAUGUGGGUGUUCUCACUCCUUUCCUACAGGAUAUACCCCAGUGGCUGGGUCCAUUUGCCGAAAUUCUGUGAAUGUGAAAAAGAAACUACUGAUGAGAGUCACACUUCUGAAGACUAUUAAAUUAUUUAACACUCAUCACCCUGUCUCCCUUUAUGGCUUUUUUAAUGGUGGGGGUGGGAAUUCUCACCACCAGGACUUUGCAACAGCGCCUACUACUAAGCGGUACAGUCAGGUCCAAUGUCUUACUUUCUAAAAUGUGUGCUUCUAGGGUACGUGAUUUGUAUCAGGAACCAACAAGCAAAGUCCCUUAAAGCUGGCUGUUUCUUGGGGGCUG
rnacentral:lncRNA from 1 species